rnacentral:lncRNA from 1 species
UUUAUUUUCGAUUCUGUUACUAAGUAAUUCAUCUCCAUUCAAGUUCUUCAUUCACUUUCGUUUAUGUUCAAUUUUAGUCUUCCAUCAGGUUUACUCACUAAAAUUUGUUUCAUGGUCGAUUUAUUUCACUGAUUCAUCAUCUUUUUUAAUUUCGUUUUUUUCUUCUUCAUCAAAUAUGGUUCAAAUCCUUUAUGUGAUCA